rnacentral:tRNA from 1 species
UUCAUGGUGGUCUAGUGGUUAGGACUUGGCACUUUCACUGCUGUGGCCCAGGUUCAAUCCCCGGUCUGGGAC